rfam:Hordeum vulgare subsp. vulgare, WGS project CAJW01000000 data, contig: morex_contig_1608550
CGAGUACUAUCUUCGUCUUAAAUUUUUUAUCUUAGAUUUACUUAGAUAUGAAUGUAUCUAGUCACGUUUUAGUAUUUAGUUACAUUCAUUUCUAGACAAACUUAAGACAAGAAUUUUGAGACGGAGGGAGUAUAUA